rnacentral:misc_RNA from 1 species
CCGUAUUCAGAUUUGUGAGUGGAUCAUCCUUCCGCAGCUUCCCGUAGUCAAUCAGCUCGGGCCGGUGUCGGUGGAUCAAAGCACAGAAGCCGAGGCCAUCCUUCCAGCUUAUGUGGAAGUUCUGGAUGUUGACAUUUUUGUAAGGGGCUGUCUUUCUCUGACACCACAGGAGCAGCCCUUCCUUGGCUGAAGUCUCUUCCACGGAGAUGUCCUGG